rnacentral:rRNA from 1 species
AGAAUCAACGCUGGCGGCGUGCCUAACACAUGCAAGUCGAACGAGAAAGUGGAGCAAUCCAUGAGUACAGUGGCGCACGGGUGAGUAACACGUGACUACCUACCCUCGAGUGGGGAAUAACCUCGGGAAACCGGGGCUAAUACCGCAUAACAUCUACGGAUCAAAUGCGAAAGCAGCUUGAGGAGGGGGUCGCGGCCGAUUAGCUAGUUGGUGAGGUAAUGGCCCACCAAGGCAAUGAUCGGUA